rnacentral:rRNA from 1 species
GAGUUUGAUCCUGGCUCAGAUUGAACGCUGGCGGCAUGCCUUACACAUGCAAGUCGAACGGCAGCACGGGAGCUUGCUCCUGGUGGCGAGUGGCGAACGGGUGAGUAAUGCAUCGGAACGUAUCCUGGAGUGGGGGAUAACGUAGCGAAAGUUACGCUAAUACCGCAUAUUCUGUGAGCAGGAAAGCGGGGGACCUUCGGGCCUCGCGCUCUUGGAGCGGCCGAUGUCGGAUUAGCUAGUUGGUGAGGUAAAGGCUCACCAAGGCGACGAUCCGUAGCAGGUCUGAGAGGAUGAUCUGCCACACUGGAACUGAGACACGGUCCAGACUCCUACGGGAGGCAGCAGUGGGAAUUUUGGACAAUGGGGCAACCCGUGAUCCAGCCAUGCCGCGUGAGUGAAGAAGGCCUCGGUU